GACAGAGGGUGCAAACGUUGCUCGGAAUCACUGGGCGUACAGGGCGUGUAGGCGGGAAGGAUAGUCAGAUGUGAAAUCCCUGGGCUCAACCCAGGAACUGCAUUUGAAACUCCCUUUCUUGAGUGUCGGAGAGGAAAGCGGAAUUCCUGGUGUAGAGGUGAAAUUCGUAGAUAUCAGGAGGAACACCGGUGGCGAAGGCGGCUUUCUGGACGACAACUGACGCUGAGACGCGAAAGCGUGGGGAGCAAACAGG
rnacentral:rRNA from 1 species